AAGGCCAGUGCCCGGAGAUUUCUGGGCAGAGCUUUCUCUGCCUGCUCCCACAGGGCUCGCUGCGGGCCUGGCGCCCUCGGCUCCAACCCCUCGGCCUGGUAGCAUGUGGUGCCCGGGUGGGCAGGGCACGUUUGCUGGGAGAGAGAGAAGAGUUUCCUAGGAAUGCAGGAAGCUGUUUAGUCUACUGGUUUGUGAGAAUGUCCACUGUUUGAAGCUUGAAUCAGCAACAAGUUACCAUCACACCACACGUGGAUCAUGCUGUCAUCUUCAGAUGGGGGAGUUCACCUGGAAUGCCCCCCUGCUCUGGGGAAAGCAGCCAGGUGUGUGCUGUGUCCUGCUGCACUUGCCCUGCAGGCAGUGCCUGCUUCCUGCCUCUCCUCGUUUUAUUCUUCCAAAGCUCAGACUGGUUUUGUGUUAGGCCACUGAGCGACAUCAGAGUCCGUGUGAACAGCUUGGUGAGAACAAAGAAGUGAUAAAAGAACUUGUGGAAAACCUAAGCUUUGCCACUUUCAACAGGCAGCUAAUGAGACCCAAAGUUUGCAAGAACAUGGAACAAGUGUUCCCUUCACUCUUCCAGCUUCUUUUCCAGCAUACCAUGAUGACAAGUGUCUGUUUUCACAGUAACUUUUGAAGGCUAUGCUGUUCCAUGCUUAAUGCUUAUUUCAAAGUUUCAGAAAGGACAUAUUGGGGACAACACAGGAAACAGCACAGAAGCAGUGUCACACUUGUAGAAAGUUAAAUAUCUCCUAGCAGGAGAAAGUGUGAAGUAUCAUUGUUCUGUGUGAGAUAUGGUACUUGUCUUGUAUUCAUUUUUUUCCGCUAUAAACACUUUUAUCAUGGUAACUUUAGAGAUAGAACUCAAUUAAUGCUCUUCAUGUAAUGUUUUUGCAUCUGUAGAUAUAGCUUAAGGGCACAGGUAGUCAAAACAUUGGAACUAGAAUUUACCUGACUGUGACAUAACUGUGAGAGUUAGGAUGGUUCCUGUGUCCUCUGUGUCUCUGUCUAGCCUAUGUCUGUGCUGUGAGCUGUGUGAGUAACUGAUUUUCUCAGCCAAAAAAUAACCCAUAAUUAAUGUCAGACUAAGAACCUUGACAUCACUGUACAGAAAACAGCCCAGUAGCCUGCAUGUCACUAUGGCACUGCAGCAGCAAUGCUCAGAGACAGCACAAGAACAGUGGUCAAAGAAUGUGAACAGUGAGUUCUCCUGCCCUGCUUUCUAAGUCUGAGAUUGAAUUAAAACUACUGUUUUGUUAAAAAUUUUAUUGAUUUUUACCAGUGGACCAGCCUUCACUGAAUUUCUCUGACUUUUUGACUUUAUCAACACUUUUGGCCUGUACAGAAGCCUAUGACAAUAUAAUUAUGCACCGUGUGAAGAAAUACCUUCUCUCUCCUCCUGAUUUGACACCUAAUAAUUUCAAUGGUGCCCUGUAAGUUUUGUGUGGUGCGACACAGUGAAUAGUCAUUACCUUGUCACCCUUUCAGCACCAUUCAUUGUUUGUAGCCUUACUCAUUUGUCUUUUUCCUGCCUGGAAACUCCUCAUCCAUUUGGGUUUCUCUUAUACAGAAACUGCUGCCUUGGAUCAUCCUCACUAUUAUCAUCUCUGCUUUCCAUCUUCUACCCUCCCUGAGGUGAAAGGACCAGAUUGCGUACAGAGACUUACCCAACAUGGACAGGUUUUUGUCAAAAUAAACCAUGAGAAUAGAUUAUAACCUUGUUUUGAUUUGUUUCUGAACAGAUCCAAUAAAAUCAAAUCACAGAAUGGGAUAAAUGGUAGUGAUGUCCUUUAUGGAUAUAUCAGUUGUCACAAAAGGAAUGAAAUCUGAGUUCAGAUCCUUUCUGCCUACCUUUGAGAAGGAAACUGAGCUACAGGCUGAUCAGGGUAAUCUCUCUUGGUUUUCCUGCACUGGUUUUGCUUAGACAUCUUUGA